rnacentral:tRNA from 1 species
CCAUCGGUGGUUCAGUGGUAGAAUGUUCGCCUGCCACGCGGUUCGAUUCCCGGCCGAUGAA